UUGGAGGGCAAGUCUGGUGCCAGCAGCCGCGGUAAUUCCAGCUCCAAUAGCGUAUAUUAAAGUUGUUGCAGUUAAAAAGCUCGUAGUUGAAUUUCGGGAUCAGACUGUCGGUCGUGCCUCGGUACGCACUGGCAUUAUUGGUUUCUACCUUCUGAAGAACCGCGAUGUCAUUAAUUUGGUGUCGCGGGGAAUCAGGACUGUUACUUUGAAAAAAUUAGAGUGUUUAAAGCAGGCUUACGCUUGAAUACAUUAGCAUGGAAUGA
rnacentral:rRNA from 1 species